rnacentral:rRNA from 1 species
CAGUAGCCGCGGGAAAACGAAGGGUGCAAGCGUUACUCGGAAUUACUGGGCGUAAAGCGUGCGUAGGUGGUGGUUUAAGUCCGUUGUGAAAGCCCUGGGCUCAACCUGGGAAUUGCAGUGGAUACUGGGUCACUAGAGUGUGGUAGAGGAUAGUGGAAUUUCCGGUGUAGCAGUGAAAUGCGUAGAGAUCGGAAGGAACAUCUGUGGCGAAGGCGACUAUCUGGGCCAACACUGACGCUGAGGCGCGAAAGCGUGGGGAGCAAACAGGAUUAGAUACCCCAGUAGUCCAUGUCUCUUAUAC